UAGUAUUUUAUAGUGAACUCUUCUGUAGGCUGUCAGUGAUCUUUGCAUAUAUAAAAUGGCUGAAAAUCUUUAUCAGCGAAAAUGGAAUGCGAAGCACAUAUAUCUACAGCUUUGCAGUCUUUGGUUGGACAAAGCCCAGAUUUGGUUGUUUUUCUAUCUCUAGUUGAAAGAUGUUGGCAGGAUCUUUGUGACCAAAUGUUGAUGAUUCGGGGUAUAUCCUUGUAUCUGGAUAGGACAUAUGUGAAGUAAACAGCAAAUGUACGGUCCUUAUGGGACAUGGGCUUACAACUUUUUCACUAACAUCUUUCAUUAUCUCCUGAAGUUGAACACAAAACUGUUAUCGGUCUUCUAAGAAUAAUUGAAAUUGAAAGAUUAGGUGAAGCAGUGGAUAGAACGCUUCUAAACCAUCUUUUGAAGAUGUUCACAGCACUGGGAAUAUAUGCAGAAAGCUUUGAGAAGCCAUUUCUUGAAUGCACAUCUGAAUUUAUGCUGCUCAAGGUAUGACAUGCAGCAAUCAGAUGUUCCAGAUUAUUUGAAGCAUGUGGAGACAAGAUUGCAAGAGGAACAUGAUAGAUACCUGAUCUACUUGGAUACGAGUACUAGGAAGUCGCUGAUAGCCACAGCAGAAAAGCAACUUCUUAAACGCCAUAUACCUGCCAUUCUUGAUAAGUAUAAGUGACAAUAUUGGUGAAACUGAAGGUGGAAUUGGCGGACAUGUUCUUUGUGCAAUUGAUAUGCCAAAUUUUAGGUGUUGUUUAUAUUUUUCAUUUUUUUUAAAUUUUCAAUGUGAAAUGAGGAACCGAGAUGUGUAUUUUUCAUUUUUGCUUGCAUAGUUUACUAAUUACGUCAUCUUAUUUCGAACUAUUGAAAAGAUAGAGUAGGCAUUUGAUCAAGCCCAAAUGCUUGGUUAUUAUCAGGUUAAGCUUCAAUGCUUACUUUCUUGAAA